UACUGGGCGUAAGCGUGCGCAGGCGGUUUGGUAAGUCAGAUGUGAAAUCCCCGGGCUCAACCUGGGAACUGCAUUUGAGACUGCCAGGCUGGAGUUUGGCAGAGGGGGGUGGAAUUCCACGUGUAGCAGUGAAAUGCGUAGAGAUGUGGAGGAACACCGAUGGCGAAGGCAGCCCCCUGGGCCAAUACUGACGCUCAUGCACGAAAGCGUGGGGAGCAAACAGGAUUAGAUACCCUGGUAGUCCACGCCCUAAACGAUGUCAACUAGGUGUUGGGAGGGUUAAACCUUUUAGUGC
rnacentral:rRNA from 1 species